rnacentral:lncRNA from 1 species
CUCUGAUCAUAAAUGUGUCCUAUUUGAUACUUGUCUUCAUCCAAUCACUGUACCUCAGAAAUCCACAGUUAAACGCCAUCUAUUUAACAGCCAGUCAGCAGCUAAAUUCACUAGCACCUUCUCUGUGUUGAAGCAGGGUAUUUCUUGCACAUCACAUGUUGAUGAUGUCGUCCGCCUUUUCAACAAUAAUUGUGCCUCUGCGCUAGAGGCUGCUGCUCCCUUAAAAACUGCAAAUGUGUCUCGUAAAGACACCAACAAACAGCCUUGGAUAGAUGUCGGGUGUAGGAAAGCUGAGCGGAGAUGGAAGAAAACCGGACUUCAAGUGCAUUAUGAAGCUAUGAAAGAAGCAUUACUCCACUACAAUACGAUGGUAAAGAAUGCCAGAUCUAAAUACUUCUCAGACCUGAUCACUGCUCACUGCCAUAAUCCUAAAUGUUUAUUUCAGACUGUUGACAAGUUAGUAAACUCAACCUCUCCUAGCAUCCCAGCUGAAAGUGAUGCAGAUUGUGAGAAGUUCUUAACCUAUUUUAAUGAUAAAAUAGAAUCAAUCAGAGCUUCUGUCAUCCCCAACUCCUCACCAGUCAUAGUUUCACACCCUUUUAGAGAAUGCACUUUAAGCCAGUUUCCUCCCAUGUCCGUAUUUGAGCUACUACAAACUGUCUCUAAAAUGAAACCAUCUUCCAGCCCAGUUGAUGUCAUCCCAACUAAGUUCUUAAUCUCGAUCAUUGAUUCGCUUGCUCCCUCUCUCCUGAAUACUUCUCUGUCCACUGGGAUUGUGCCAGAUUAUUUUAAAAUUGCAUCUGUGCAACCUCUUUUGAAAAAACCUGGUCUAGAUCCCUCAUCCCCCGAAAACUACAGACCAAUCUCCAAACUACCCUUCAUAUCAAAGAUUUUAGAAAAGUACGUGUCUAAACACUUAUUUCUAGCCGCAGACAACUAUAACAUCUUUGACGAACUGCAAUCUGGUUUUCGCAAACACCACAGCACAGAGACCGCCCUACUGAAGGUAACCAAUGACAUUCUGUUGGCUUCUGAUGCUGGUUUGUGCUCUAUUCUUGUCCUCCUCGAUCUUAGUGCUGCUUUUGAUACAAUAGAC